UGUUCUGUGGCUUAGUUGGAUAAAGCGCCGGUCUAGCGAAAACGAAGUCGUUGGUUCGAAUCCUACCAGAACGC
rnacentral:tRNA from 1 species